GUCUAAGACCUAGAGAAGAGGAGUCUCAUCUGAUCAAGUUGGCGUCCAGAUCUGGAGCGUCCAGACUUCAGAUCUAAUCCAAGACAUGGUGCCCAGAUGAAAAAGUAGAUCAUUCCUGUCUGCUCUGGUGUUUGGAAUACUCGUGUGACUAUGUUCUGGUGAAUGGGAGCAGUGUAAGACUCAGAGUCACCUUUAAUGUCUUUGGCAAAAAUGUUUCCAACAACAACUUAAAUUUGAUGCUUUCGCUUCUUGACAUCCAGUGGAAAGAAUGA